rnacentral:lncRNA from 1 species
CACAACUAGCAAUUUGUGAAUUAAAAACAGAGAACACAAAAGAAAAACAAUUCAAAGAAAGAAAAUUAAGGUAAACUAAAAACUAAAUAAAAGGUAUACUAAAAUAUGAACAAUAAAGAAAUAAAAAGAGUUAGUAAAAGGAAAAGAAAAGUCACCAAACUUGUGAUGAAGAUCACAAGUACUCUGAAAAGGUGAUAUCACUGUAAAGUGGCA